UCGUGCGGCCGCGGGUCACGGCGUCGAGGGUGCGCUGCAGCCGCACCUCGGUGGCCGGGUCGACCGCGCUGGUCGCCUCGUCGAGCACGAGC
rnacentral:tRNA from 1 species